rnacentral:rRNA from 1 species
UGCGGACAGUGUCUGGUGGGUAGUUUGACUGGGGCGGUCUCCUCCUAAAGAGUAACGGAGGAGCACGAAGGUUGGCUAAUCCUGGUCGGACAUCAGGAGGUUAGUGCAAUGGCAUAAGCCAGCUUGACUGCGAGCGUGACGGCGCGAGCAGGUGCGAAAGCAGGUCAUAGUGAUCCGGUGGUUCUGAAUGGAAGGGCCAUCGCUCAACGGAUAAAAGGUACUCCGGGGAUAACAGGCUGAUACCGCCCAAGAGUUCAUAUCGACGGCGGUGUUUGGCACCUCGAUGUCGGCUCAUCACAUCCUGGGGCUGAAGUAGGUCCCAAGGGUAUGGCUGUUCGCCAUUUAAAGUGGUACGCGAGCUGGGUUUAGAACGUCGUGAGACAGUUCGGUCCCUA